rnacentral:rRNA from 1 species
AAUCAUUAGUCUUUUAAUUGAAGGCUGGUAUGAAUGGUUGGACGAAGUAUUAACUGUUUCAAUAAAAUUUAAAUUAGAACUUUAUUUUUUAGUCAAAAAGCUAAAAUUUAAUUAAAAGACGAGAAGACCCUAUAAAUCUUUAUAUUUAUAAUAUUUUAUUUAUAUAGAUGUUUUUUAAUAUAAUAUUUAUAAAUAUUUUAUUGGGGUGAUAUUAAAAUUUAAAUAACUUUUAAUUUAUUAAAACAUUAAUUUAUGAAUUAUUGAUCCAUUAUUAUUGAUUAAAAAUUUAAGUUACUUUAGGGAUAACAGCGUAAUUUUUUUGGAGAGUUCUUAUCGAUAAAAAAGAUU